rnacentral:rRNA from 1 species
ACAACGGAGAGUUUGAUCCUGGCUCAGGAUGAACGCUGGCGGCGUGCUUAACACAUGCAAGUCGAACGAACCUUCGGGUUAGUGGCGGACGGGUGAGUAACGCGUGAGAAUCUGCCCUCAGGAGGGGGAUAACGGCUGGAAACGGCCGCUAAUACCCCAUAUGCCGCGAGGUGAAAUGAAUUUCGCCUGAGGAUGAGCUCGCGUCUGAUUAGCUAGUUGGUGGGGUAAAAGCCUACCAAGGCUUCGAUCAGUAGCUGGUCUGAGAGGAUGAUCAGCCACACUGGGACUGAGACACGGCCCAGACUCCUACGGGAGGCAGCAGUGGGGAAUUUUCCGCAAUGGGCGAAAGCCUGACGGAGCAACGCCGCGUGAGGGAUGAAGGCCUCUGGGCUGUAAACCUCUUUUAUCAAGGAAGAAGAUCUGACGGUACUUGAUGAAUAAGCCACGGCUAAUUCCGUGCCAGCAGCCGCGGUAAUACGGGAGUGGCAAGCGUUAUCCGGAAUUAUUGGGCGUAAAGCGUCCGCAGGCGGUCUUUUAAGUCUGCUGUUAAAGCGUGGAGCUUAACUCCAUUUCGGCAGUGGAAACUGGAAGACUAGAGUGUGGUAGGGGCAGAGGGAAUUCCCGGUGUAGCGGUGAAAUGCGUAGAUAUCGGGAAGAACACCAGUGGCGAAGGCGCUCUGCUGGGCCAUAACUGACGCUCAUGGACGAAAGCCAGGGGAGCGAAAGGGAUUAGAUACCCCUGUAGUCCUGGCCGUAAACGAUGAACACUAGGUGUCGGGGGAAUCGACCCCCUCGGUGUCGUAGCCAACGCGUUAAGUGUUCCGCCUGGGGAGUACGCACGCAAGUGUGAAACUCAAAGGAAUUGACGGGGGCCCGCACAAGCGGUGGAGUAUGUGGUUUAAUUCGAUGCAACGCGAAGAACCUUACCAGGGUUUGACAUCCUGCGAAUCCCUUGGAAACGAGGGAGUGCCUUCGGGAACGCAGUGACAGGUGGUGCAUGGCUGUCGUCAGCUCGUGUCGUGAGAUGUUGGGUUAAGUCCCGCAACGAGCGCAACCCACGUCGUUAGUUGCCAGCAUUCAGUUGGGCACUCUAGCGAGACCGCCGGUGAUAAACCGGAGGAAGGUGUGGAUGACGUCAAGUCAUCAUGCCCCUUACAUCCUGGGCUACACACGUACUACAAUGCUACGGACAAAGGGCAGCAAACUCGCGAGAGCUAGCAAAUCCCAUAAACCGUGGCUCAGUUCAGAUCGUAGGCUGCAACUCGCCUACGUGAAGGAGGAAUCGCUAGUAAUCGCAGGUCAGCAUACUGCGGUGAAUACGUUCCCGGGCCUUGUACACACCGCCCGUCACACCAUGGAAGUUGGCCACGCCCGAAGCCGUUACUCCAACCCGCAAGGGAGGAGGACGCCGAAGGUGGGGCUGAUGACUGGGGUGAAGUCGUAACAAGGUAGCCGUACCGGAAGGUGCGGCUGGAUCACCUCCU